AAUCAAAUGGUUAAAGAGUAAAAUAUUAUGCACCGUAUUUAUGAUGAUAACGAAAGGUGAAAUAGAGGUGACUGUAAUGUUAAAUGAGGAGUUUCAUUUGUUGUUUCGCUGGCUUCCCCCUCAGGCUGUCUAUUUGUAGUAGAGUUUUGGUUGUUUUGCAUCUCUGUCUUGUUGCGGCGGUCUCACUGAACGUAUUGACCGGCUGCAUUGGCGGCUGUAUGAGUCGGUCACGGGGAGGAUCUGUCAGCUAACUCCACGCUUCUCCGUCGGUGUCACGUCACACUGACUGCACGGAAGUUACCGGCAUUUGUUUACAAGGAGCAGAGCGCGGAUGGAUCGGGGAUGACAGGCACACGAAACAUGAAAAGUUUGAGUUGUAAAACACAUUUAUCACGACACAAAAACGAUAUAGACCGAAUAGAGCUGUUAGUAAGUAAGUAACCGGAAGAUAGCAAGAGCUGCGAGGACGAAGAAAACAAGCGGUUUUCAAGGGACUCAGACGAGGAUUCCGAGCCCUCGUGAUCCGUGUGAGGACGCCCACGAGGUGUACAGCGAUGAGGGUGAUCCCCUCCGCCCACCUCACCGUACCUGAACGGAGACUCCUUGGACCUGGAGAACGUCACCGAGGUGGGCCCGGUCCAGUUUCAGAAGAACACCGAUGAGUCCGCAGUGUGUAAAGAAAAUCUGCUGUGAAAUGUCAGAUACGGAGGAAGGCUUCGCUCUCAAAACGAACAGCGUCAACCACUGCAUCGUGGCCCGUGUCACGAUUCACGGACAAGAAAGAGUCCCUGGAUUUGUCCAGACAGUCACCUGCAAGAAGACACGACAGUGAAGGUGUUAGCGGUGAUAUAAGAGUGCAAUAUUGGCAGGCAAACAAAGAAAGAAAGAAAGA